rnacentral:antisense_RNA from 4 species
UUCAGUACGACAUUGCUCACAUUGCUUCCAGUAUUUCUUGCCCACUCUAGAGUGGGCUUUUUUU